GGGGGGGGGGGGGGGGGGGGGGGGGGGGGGGGGGGGGGGGGGGGGGGGGGGGGGGGGGGGGGGGGGGGGGGGGGGGGGACACGGACCCUGCCCGGGCCGGGCCGGGGCGGCUCCCGGGCGGUCACUCGUGCCGUGGGGCACUCGGGGCGGCCACGGCACGGGGCAGUGUCCCUGAGCGUGCCCCGGCUCCGGCCUGGCCGCGUGUGCCCUGUCCGGGUGUGCCCUGUCCGUGUGUCCCGUGUCUGUGUGUCCCGUGUCCGUGUGUGCCCAGUCCGUGUGUGCCGUGUCUGUGUGUGCCCAGUCCGUGUGUCCCGUGUCUGUGUGUGCCGUGUCUUUGUGCGCCCAGUCCGUGUGUCCCGUGUCUGUGUGUGCCGUGUCUUUGUGCGCCCAGUCCGUGUGUCCCGUGUCUGUGUGUGCCGUGUCUUUGUGCGCCCAGUCCGUGUGUCCCGUGUCUGUGUGUGCCGUGUCUUUGUGUCCAUGUGUCCUCUCCAGUCCGUGUGUGCCCAGUCCGUGUGUCCCCUGUCCGUGUGUCUGUCUGUGUGUCCCGUGUCCAUGUGUCCUCUCCAGUCCGUGUGUCUGUCUGUGUGUCCUCUGUCCGUGUGUGCCCUGUCCGUGUGUCCCGUGUCCGUGUGUCCCGUGUCUGUGAAUGCCCAGUCCGUGUGUCCCGUGUCCGUGUGUCCCCUGUCUGUGUGUGCCCAGUCCGUGUGUCCCGUGUCUGUGUGUGCCGUGUCUUUGUGCGCCCAGUCCGUGUGUCCCGUGUCUGUGUGUCCCGUGUCCGUGUGUGCCCAGUCCGUGUGUGCCGUGUCUGUGUGUGCCCAGUCCGUGUGUCCCGUGUCUGUGUGUGCCGUGUCUUUGUGCGCCCAGUCCGUGUGUCCCGUGUCUGUGUGUCCCGUGUCCGUGUGUGCCCAGUCCGUGUGUGCCGUGUCUGUGUGUGCCCAGUCCGUGUGUCCCGUGUCUGUGUGUGCCGUGUCUUUGUGCGCCCAGUCCGUGUGUCCCGUGUCUGUGUGUCCCGUGUCCGUGUGUGCCCAGUCCGUGUGUGCCGUGUCUGUGUGUGCCCAGUCCGUGUGUCCCGUGUCCGUGUGUCCCCUGUCUGUGUGUGCCCAGUCCGUGUGUCUGUCUGUGUGUCCCGUGUCCAUGUGUGCUCUCCAGUCCGUGUGUCUGUCUGUGUGUCCUCUGUCCGUGUGUGCCCUGUCUGUGUGUCCCCAGUCCGGCUCUGGGGCCGUGUGUGCCCUGUCCGUGUGUCCUCUGCCCGUGUGUGCCCUGUCCGUGUGUCUGUCCGUGUGUGCCCUGUCCGUAUGUCCCCUGCCCGGCUCCGGGGCUGUGUGUCCCGUGUCCGUGUGUCCCCAGUCCGUGUGUCCCCAGUCCAUGUGUCCCCUGUCCGUGUGUCCCCGUGUCCGUGUCCCCAGGGCAGUGGCACUGUCAGUGUCAGUGUCCCCAGGGCAGGACAGUGUCCGUGUCCCCAGGGCAGUGGCACUGUCAGUGUCAGUGUCCCCAGGGCAGGACAGUGUCCGUGUCCCCAGGGCAGUGGCACUGUCAGUGUCAGUGUCCCCAGGGCAGGACAGUGUCCGUGUCCCCAGGGCAGUGGCACUGUCAGUGUCAGUGUCCCCAGGGCAGGACAGUGUCCGUGUCCCCAGGGCAGUGGCACUGUCAGUGUCAGUGUCCCCAGGGCAGGACAGUGUCCGUGUCCCCAGGGCAGUGGCACUGUCAGUGUCAGUGUCCCCAGGGCAGGACAGUGUCCGUGUCCCCAGGGCAGUGGCACUGUCAGUGUCAGUGUCCCCAGGGCAGGACAGUGUCCGUGUCCCCAGGGCAGUGGCACUGUCAGUGUCAGUGUCCCCAGGGCAGGACAGUGUCCGUGUCCCCAGGGCAGUGGCACUGUCAGUGUCAGUGUCCCCAGGGCAGGACAGUGUCCGUGUCCCCAGGGCAGUGGCACUGUCAGUGUCAGUGUCCCCAGGGCAGGACAGUGUCCGUGUCCCCAGGGCAGUGGCACUGUCAGUGUCAGUGUCCCCAGGGCAGGACAGUGUCCGUGUCCCCAGGGCAGUGGCACUGUCAGUGUCAGUGUCCCCAGGGCAGGACAGUGUCCGUGUCCCCAGCACAGCAGCACUGUCCCUGUCCCCAGGGCAGUGGCACUGUCAGUGCCCCGGCAGGGCUCAGCAGCCUCCUGGGCCAUCCCCUCCCUGCUGGCCACUCCUGCCACCCAUCCCUGCACUGCGUCCCCCUCAGCCAACAGCACUCUGAUUUUCCUUAGAUUUUUCUAGGAGUGUUCCUCUAGGAAUAAGAGGAGCUCAGCAGGUCAGGGGCAGGGACAGCGGCCCCAGGGCAGGACAGUGGCACCAUCAGUGUUCCCAGGACAGUGGCACUGUCAGAGUCCCCAGGGCAGGACAAAGGGACAGUGUCAGUGUCCCCAGGGCAGGACAGUGUCCGUGUCCCCAGGGCAGUGGCACUGUCAGUGUCAGUGUCCCCAGGGCAGGACAGUGUCCGUGUCCCCACCCCGGCAGGGCUCAGCAGCCUCCUGGGCCAUCCCCUCCCUGCUGGCCACUCCUGCCACCCAUCCCUGCACUGCGUCCCCCUCAGCCAACAGCACUCUGAUUUUCCUUAGAUUUUUCUAGGAGUGUUCCUCUAGGAAUAAGAGGAGCUGACAGAAUGGGAAUGUUUGACCCGACAACAAAAAUAAAAGAGUUCGGGUUCCCAUUAAUUGCUUGGCAGAAGCCCAAGGUGUAGAAUUAUGAAUGGGUUUGGCUGCCACCACUUUCGGAAUAUUCUUGUGCUUUGGAGUCUGUUGUGCCCUGGGACCACCUGAAAUCAGGAGCCAGAGCAGAGCCUUGCUUCUUCACCUGAAGUGCUCAAGUAGAUUACAGAUACAGGAAGAAUUAAAUUGUUGUGUCUCUUCAGCACAGGCACCUCUCGCUAAACCCCAGGAAGAAUUAAAUUGUUGUGUCUCUUCAGCACAGGCACCUCUCGCUAGAGGACAAUCAAAGACAUUUCAAUGCACUGGACAUUCUGCACAGCACAACCAACAAACUCCAGGGUUACUCACAUUCAACCAGGAAUUCUUUCAUUCCCAGGCCUGGACCUUUGGUAGCAGCUCUGCUUCACCCUCAACCUCACUACAAAGACUGAACUUCCUACACCAGGCUUAAAAUCAGCGAGUAAUUCUCCAGAACUCCCCCCUCUCUUUCUCUCAGUUGCUUUCUGUGUCUCAGGCAGGAUCUGGAUCAUGUUCCCAAAGCAGCAAACGGGCUCCACUUGCCAGCAGCUGCCACUUUUUCUAUUUUAGCAGCAGAGGGGAGGCGCAGCAGGGGCUGCAGGGCUGGGCUGGGCUUUGCAGAACAGAUUAUCCCGGGCAGGGAAGCCUCAGCCCACGCUGCCACCAGCACUUCCAAAGGCUCAUCACCACUUCUUGUACAGCACCAGGUCUCAAGAUCAGAGUGAAAAAGGACAGCUUUUUCUUAUUUAUUGCGUUCAGCUUUACAUUGCCAAGUUUAUUUUCUACAUCUCCUUCAUGUUAACUAAGCUGGUUCAAUUUCUUGCUCUUUUUCCAUCCCUGUACGUGGAGCUGAGCAGCGAGAAAAGAGCAGCCACCAGAAAACAGUGACAACCCAGCUCUCCAGAAACUGCUCACCAGCUUCUGACCACAAUCCCCAUCUCAAACCCCAGAACCUACAACUAAACUCACUUUUCAGAGCUUUUCUCUCAAGAAAUUUGUUUGUCACACGGAAUGAGCGCACAGCUACAGACACAGAAAAUCUGAGCUCAGCUCUGGCUCCACUGCCCAGAGCCUCCAGCUGUGGCAUUUCUGAGCAGCAGCACACAAACUCCUGCUGGAGAUGUGCAGCUACGUCCCAGUUCCAGCCUGCAGACGUGCAGGCAGCGUCCCCGUCCCUGCCUCCCACCCCAGCCAGGGCCAGAUGCUCAGACAGAACUGCCACUUACCUCCCAGCUCUGCUGUCAGGCUGCUCCUCUGACCCUUCCUGCCUCCUCACCGGCAGUCUGUUUGAUCUGGGGCUUUGGGAAAAGCUGGAUUUGGAGGAGCCUGGCCCCUCAUUGGCCACCUCCCACCAAAUCCCCCCGGGCAGUAAUCGCGCCGUGGGGAGAGCAGGGUCCUGGGCUGGGCUCCUCCAGCCCUGGGCACCGACCUGGGCACCAACCUGGGCACCUGCCCUGCUCCUGCUCCCUCCCUGAGGUGCCCAGCAUGGGACAGCCCUGCUGGGCUCAAAGCCAGGGAGAAUUAACCCUUCCUGGGCCGGGCUGGCAGAUCCCCACGGGCAGAGCCUGGCAGGAACCGACCUGAGCACAGCGAUCUGAACAAAGGAGCUGGAGCUGCCAAAAGCGGUGCCAGCAGCAGCCUGGGGAGGCAGGGGCUGGGCAGGGAGAGGGGAGCUCUCCCUGGGAGGGCUGCAUGCAGAGAUGCAGAUCUCAGGAGUUGGUGAGGUGCUGUUUGUUGCACAGACGAGGUUCCAGCAGCUGUGGGCUGGGGGUGGGCCUGGAGCUGCUGGCCACGGGCAGGCUGUGUGUCCUGAGGCUCUGCUCUAUUCACGUCACAAAACACUCUCUUUCAUUUUUGGUGCAUUUUAUUACAUUACAACUAAUUAACACCCUCAUUACUACUUAUAGCUUAUUUUAACUACUAACAUCACUGUAUUUAUGUUACUAUGUUUUAAUUACCAAAAGUUAGUAUGCUACAGUUUAAGCUAGAAGUGGCUUUUUAGUUUUUUGGUAGUGGAAAAUUUUGAGGGUUUUUUUUUUUUUUAACUUACAACAUGGCAUUUUUAUUUGUCUGUGAAAAUUAUUUUGCUUGACAAAAACAUUUUUUUUUGUUUGAGGUAGAUUUAUUUUUUGCUUAGAGUCAUAAAAGCCCCUUCCAACUCACUUGCUCUUUGCCUUCUUAGUUAUUCAGCAAGACUGGCUCAGCAAUUCUUUUCUUUUAUAUCAAAACUUGCUAUAAUUUCUAUUCAUUCUUCAGAUUCUGCAUUCUAAGAUUUUUCUGUUAUACAUAAAUAUCUGUGGGGCCUUCCUGUCAAAUCCUCAUCCCCCCCCACUCUGCUCUGGGCUGAGCCCCAUCAGCAGCCACUGAGUUUUCAACACCCUGAGAUUUUUACCUCUGCUGUGAUUUCGGGUUAUGCAAGUUAAAAAACGAAGCAAACCAACCCCGCCCGCUUCAUCUUUUGCUCUUUGUGGUAUCUGCUCAGUCUUUCACAGAACUGGAGGGUGAGGGAAGCCCAGCCCAAGGUGAAGUCGCUGCCUGGUGACCAAACAGCCUGCAGGGCUUGGAUUCACCCACCUGCAAUUAACUGUUCUCACCUUGGAGGGAAAAUUCUGGAGGGCAAAGAAACCUUGCCCCGUGCCUAAGUGGCAGCCUCUGCUCCCUCUGGGGUCUCAGCCCUCCCACUCUCCCACUGGCUUCUCUGAGACUCCCCAGGAAAGGAGCAGCGUCCCAGGGGAGAGAGAAGCUCCCCGGCACAGGGUCAGGCUGGACUAGCCGGGCUGGGAGAAGAGGAAGGGAUUCUGCAAAGAGUUCAGCAGAUGGGGCUGGAAAUGGAAGGGACGCGCUGCUGGGGGGAUGGGAACUGCAGGCUGGAGGGACAGCUCCUGCAUCCUCAGCAGCUCCUGCAUCCUCAGCAGCUCCUGCAUCCUCAGCAGCUCCUGCAUCCUCAGCAGCUCCUGCAUCCUCAGCAGCUCCUGCAUCCUCAGCAGCUCCUGCAUCCUCAGCAGCUCCUGCAUCCUCAGCAGCUCCUGCAUCCUCAGCAGCUCCUGCAUCCUCAGCAGCUCCUGCAUCCUCAGCAGCUCCUGCAUCCUCAGCAGCUC
ensembl:lncRNA